rnacentral:lncRNA from 1 species
UCCUCACCUGGGUUUUCGCUCCCUCAUACAUAUCCUUAAUUACUCUGCUAUAUGCCUGCGGUACUCCACUCACCUCCAAGCAUCUCCAAAGCACCUCCCUGGGGACUUUGUCGUACGCCUUUUCUAGGUCGAUGAACACCAUGUGCAAAUCCUUCUUCCUUUCCCUAUAUUGCUCCACCAACCGCCGUACCAGGUGAAUUGCCUCCGUCGUCGAGCGGCCGGGCAUAAAUCCGAACUGGUUUUCCGAGAUAGACACUAUCCGUCUCAGCCUCACCUCGACCACUCUCUCCCAGAUCUUCAUAGAGUGACUCAGUAACUUAAUCCCCCUAUAGUUAUUGCAACACUGAAUGUCCCCCUUAUUCUUAUAGAGGGGGAUCAUGGUACUCCACCUCCACGCCUCGGGCAUCUUUGCUGUCCUGAAAAUUUCAUUGAACAAUGCAGUCAACCACCUUACACCAGCCUCUCCAACGAACUUCCAAAACUCGACCGGUAUCUCAUCCGGCCCCGUCGCCCUACCCCUUCGCAUCCUGUGGACAGCCUGUCUAACCUCUUCUACCUUAAAACGUCUACAAUAGCUAAAAUCCCGACACUUCUCUGAGUGCUCCAGUUCCCCUAACACAAUAGCUCUAUCCCCUUCGUCAUUCAAGAGCCUAUGAAAGUACGACUGUCAUCUAUUCUUAAUGUGGCCGUCCUCCACCAACACUCUACCGUCCUCCCCCUUAAUGCACCUCACCUGAUCGAGGUCACGACCCUUCCUCUCCCUAGCCUUAGCGAGUCUAAACAACUUUUUCUCCCCUCCCUUCCCCUGUAACCCUGCAUACAGGCUCUCAAAGGCGGCCGUCUUAGCUGCCGUGACUGCUGACUUAGCCUCCUUCCUCGCUAGCUUGUACUCUUUCCUGUUUACCUGCUUCUCCUCUUCGUCCUUACUCUCCACCAACUUGGCAUACGCCCCUUUCUUGGUCCCCACUUUCUUCUCUACCUCUUCAUUCCACCACCAAUCCCCCUGAUGGUGGCCGGCCCGGCCCCUAGAAAAUGGUGAGCACAAUUAUCUGCUCAAGGGUACGUUGGCAGAUGCAAGGGGAAGGAUUUGAAUUUGAGUUCCGGAUGUUAAAAAUCGGCGGUUGUGAUUUGAUCUUGGGUAUGGAUUGGAUUGAUUUGGUAGCCCCCGUUGUGUUAAAUACUAGGCUACAUAGUAUUACAUUUCUUCGAGGUAAUAGGAUGGUGACCAUUGUGGGUUAUCAGGAAUCUCGAUCCUUGGGUUUGGAAGAUUCUGAAACCAUUCGUGGGCUUCUACGAAGAAGCGGGUGCAAUUGGGUGGCCCAAAUCCGUCAAAUAGAAUCAGCUGGUUCUGACAAGCAAGAGAUUAUCCCAAACCAUGUUGAAUUGCUUUUGAAUGUCUUUCAGGAACCUAACUCUGCCACCAAUUCGUUCUUGUGAUCAUGCCAUUGAACUUUGUCCAGGUUCGAGACCAGUGGAUCAGAGGCCUUAUUGUUACUCCCAUGAGCAAAAAAAUGCCAUCGAAAAGAUUAUCAGUGACAUGUUGGAGGCUAAAACUCUGAGGCCUAGUAAUUCACCGUUUGGUUCCCUAGUGAUUUUAGUCAAAAAAAAAGGACUCAACAUGGAGAUUAUGUGUCGGUUACCGCAAUCUCAAUGACAUUACCAUUAAAAAUAAAUACCCAAUUCCGGUGGUGGAGGAUUUACUUGAUGAGCUAAAUGGGUCACACUAUUUCUCAAAGUUAGAUUUGAGAUCGGGCUAUCACCAAAUUAGGAUGAAGGAAGGCCAUGAACAUAAGACCGCUUUCAAAACAUAUCAUGGGUUGUGGGAGUUCAAUGUUAUGCCUUUUGGCUUAACGAACGCUCCAGCAACUUUCCAGUCCCUAAUGCAUAGUAUUUUCGGUCCUUACCUCUGAAAAUUUUUGUUGGUUUUUUUUGAUGACAUUCUAGUCUACAGUCCGGACCUUCAAAAGCAUUUGCAUCAUUUACAGGUUGUGUUCGAGCUUUUGGUGGCUCACCAAUUGUAUGCGAAUCGCUCAAAGUGCAGUUUUGCUCAGGACAAAGUGGAAUACCUGGGACAUGUAAUAAUGGGCGAGGGAGUGAGUACUGACAAAGCCAAGAUAGAAGCAAUGAUAAACUGGCCAUUACCAGUGAGCAUCAAGGGAUUGUGUGGAUUCCUAGGCUUAACGGGUUAUUACAGGCUUUUUAUUCAAAAUUAUGCUGUGAUCAGCAAGCCUUUAACAACCUUGUUAAAGAAAGAAGGCUUCCUAUGGACUAAGGAAGCAACAUUGGCUUUUGAAACUCUUAAAUAUGCCAUGACCCAUGCACCUGUUUUGGCCCUUCCCGAUUUUAAGAUUCCUUUCACUGUGGAGGUGGAUGCAAGUGGACUGGGGGUUGGAGCAGUUUUGUCACAAAACAAUAAACCCAUUGCAUUCAUGAGUCAAGCUCUUAGUCCAAAACAUUUGGGUUUGUCGACAUAUGAAAAAGAAUUGAUUGCUCUUUUGCUUGCCGUGGAAAAGUGGAGGCAUUACCUCCAGCCUCAUCACUUUGUGAUCAAAACAGAUCAUUUCAGUUUGAAGUUCCUUAGAGAUCAACGCAUUACUGCUUCCUUGCAACAUAAGGGAGUGACUAAAUUAUUGGGCUUAAGCUACGAAAUGCAUUACAGACAAGGUAAAGAAAAUGUUGUAGCUGAUGCGUUGUCUCGAAGAAGUGAGGAAGCCAAAGAAGUUGACGUAGGGGCAGAUUAUUUUGGCUUGUGUGUAUCACUACCUAAAUGGGUUCAAGAGAUAGUGGAGAGUUAUGAGGGUGACCAAGAAGCUCAAGACCUGAUCACCAAACUCAGUUUAGAUCCAAAAGCAGAAGAAGUAACUUUACAGUCAGGGCUGCUGAGGUUCAAAGGCAAGGUGUGGGUUGGAACUUGGAACACAAAAAAGUCUUAGGCCUAAAUUGGUUACAGACAUGCAUUCAACAGCAUGGGGUGGACAUUCAGGAGUACACACGCCACAUACCAAAGACUCAAAUCAAUUUUUUACUGGCCAAAGAUGAUACAAUAUUUGAAGAAAGUGGUUCAAGAAUGUGAAAUUUGUCAACGAAACAACGGUGAAAGUUGUGCUUACCCCGGGUUACUACAACCACUACCAAUCCCAAAUAAGGCUUGGGAGCAUAUUUCCAUGGAUUUCAUCGAAGGUUUGCCUAAAUCGCAAGGGAAAAAUGUCAUAUUGGUGGUAAUUCAUAGGUUUGCGAAAUACAACCAUUUCAUAAGCCUAUCACAUCCUUAUAAUGCAUCCCAAAUUGCCCAAGUGUUCUUGGAUCAGGUGUGCAAAUUACAUGGAGUGCCUUGCUCAAUUGUGUCAGAUAGGGAUCCAGUUUUUGUGAGUUUAUUUUGGCAGGAGCUGUUCAAAAAUCUGCAGGUUCAACUCAAAUUAAGUUCGACUUACCACCCGCAUACAGACGGGCAAACUGAACAACUAAAUCAAUGUCUUGAAUCAUAUCUGAGAUGCAUGACUGGACAAAAACCAAAAGAAUGGUGCAAAUGGCUUCCAUUAGCAGAGUUUUGGUACAAUACCAAUUUUCAAUCGGCUAUUGGUAUGACUCCAUUCCAGGCGCUUUAUGGAUAUAAACCCCCUUCAGCCUACAUUUGAGCUAAUUGCCCAGUACAAGGUUGAAUCAGUCGACCAAGUGUUGAAAGAAAGACAGAUCGUGAGCAAGCAACUCAAAGAGAAUUUAGUCAAGGCCCAAGCUCGUAUGAAACAGUAUGCAGAUAGCAAGAGGAGUGAACGAGAAUUUGAGAUUGGAGACGUGGUUUUCAUCAAAUUACAGCCUUAUCGCCAAACGUCAGUUGGAGUAAGGAAAAAUCUUAAGCUUGCUUCAAAGUUUUUUGGUCCUUAUCCAAUAAUUAGAAAGAUCAGUGCAGUAGCGUAUGAACUGAAAUUGCCCAGUGAAUCCAAAAUUCACCCUGUUUUCCACGUUUCUCAACUUAAGAAAAGCUUGGACCCAAUGCUUUUCCUGUAAAGGAACCUCCUUGCAGCACUCUAGAUGGUCAGCUUAUAGCUGAACCAAUGGCGAUUCUCGAUAGGCGUCUGGUGAAGAAGAAGAAUAGGGAGGUGACUCAAGUUCUUGUGCAAUGGACCAAUUUAGCUCCAGAAGAUGCCACAUGGGAAGAUUAUUCCUUCAUCACUGCACAGUUUCCAAAUUUUCAACCUUGAAGAUCAAGGUUCUCAAAGGGGAAUGGGAUUUAGCAGAUCAGAGGUGAAGUGCAGUGUUACUGUUGGCCCAAUUCAUGGUGGGCCUAAUCAGUGGUUCAUAGCCAUUCAGUUAUUGCUUAAGCCCAGCCCAGUUAUGCUUUCUCUUAUCCAUUUCUAUUUUUGUCUUGAUUAGGUGUCCUUUCAUUACUAGUGGAGUACAUUAGCUAGCUGUAGUAUGAAUGUAACAUUCAAAGAUAAACACUGUAGCGUCUUGUUGGAUGAUAUUUACUUUUGCAUCAGACUUGACAAUAUUUGAAAUCUACUUAAGUGCUGCGAAGAUAAACCGGAGGUGUCUGAGUUUCUCGUUAGCAUCAAAGUUGCAUAAUGAAUUAAAUUGCCUGCUCCUAGUUUGUGCAAGUAGCAAUGUCUUUCAAACAAAAUAGGGCAACCUGGUGCACUAAGAUCUAGCUAUGUGUAGGGUCUGGGGAAGGAUCGGACUGCAAGGGUCUAUUGUACGCAGCCUUAGGCUGCAUUUCUGCUUUUUUCCACAGCUCAGACCCGUGACCUUUUGGUCACAUGGCAGCAACUUUACCAGAUAGAGAAACAGCACUGAUAGAGGACUGAUAGAGGACUCACUGGCUUGCAGCUGCAUUGCAAAAAAAUCCUAAGAUCUAAGAAUAUAUAUUGUUUAAAAACUUAACAGCUGAUGUGCAACUGAAAAUAAGGAAUGCUGGUAGGCAGCUUCAUGUGUAAUUGUAAUUGAAGUUUGGUUGAUGUCGCAGUUAAUUUGAUCUGUUUGCCAUUCUGCAGCUUGUGAAGUAUUGCUUCCUCACUGCAGUGCCUCUGAGCUUUGUAUUUCAGGAUAUUAGAUGCUCAGAGUUUUCCGAUGGAACAAAAAUAUUUAUAUCUGGUUUUGAAAGUUACCUGCUGAUUCGGUGUCAUGCUUAUUGCACUUUUAUAGGAUGAGGAAGAUGUAGCUCAAUAGGAUGAAUGGAAAAGGAACUUUUAUUGGAUGUAAAGUUAUGCUUACUGCCUGGAGCAUUAGAACUGAAUUUUACUUUGCUUGGCCCUAGUUUCUCCUCCUUUUUUGUGCUUGUCCGCAUCCCAUGAAAAGGUUACUGAUCCCUGAAAAUUGCAAUAGGAGUAGGUUACUAUGCAUGUACUUCUGUUUUGGGGCCAUCAUCCAAUUCCCUUUUUGAUAUGAUCCUUGGAAAGCGCAAACAUAACUUUACUUAAUAUCAUGAUUGUCCUUCAAUUGCGCUUGUGCUCAGCCUCGAAAGAUAUCCUUCUGUGCACCAUUACGUAUGACGAAGUUCCCUUGUGAUUAUACUGCAGUGGGUAGCAGGCUGUGAGUAAGUGAUAUUCCCAUAGGUGGGGGUGGAACAUCUUAUAGAAUUCAAUUGGGUCUGUAUCUAGAGAAGAUAUUUAGUUUUGUGCUUUUUAGCUUGAUGCAUUUUGCCUGAGAGAUGUUAGAUUCAUCACUACUUCACUAGAAUAAUUCUGGUGCCUGAAACCCAAAAUACCUCUCUCUUGGUUCCCACGUUGAGGCUGAUAUUGCAUUAGUCCACUACAAAACUGACGAAAGAGGAUAAUAUUAUGUAGAGAUGAUGAUGAGAGUGUAACAAAGCUGCCUACGCAAACAGAUUUUAGAAAGAACAUCCUGAACAUGAGGCCGAACUUGUCUCGGGGCUUGUUGAAUCCCUGCCUGAACUUGGCCUGGGAAACGAAAAUGAAAUGAAGUUGUCCAUCUUUCAUACUGUGAAUGUUUGAGUGGCUUGUGGAACUGAACUUGGAUUGACAGUGAUCUUGCUCUUUUCAGUCGCUUAAAUUGGCGCCAUGGGGUUGGCAUUUUUCGGCAAUCAUAUCCCAGUUUUCUAUUGUCCAAACACUCAGCAUGAACAGGGCUCUUGUUUUCGUCAUGAAAGAAUAAUUCAGGCUAUUGACGUCCUUGUAUUUGCCUCGUAAUGUCUUCCAUACCACCGUUCACAUUUAAUCUACAUUUGCUUUGCGACUACUAGACAGCUGUUGUCACUUUCUGUAACGACCUACAUAUACUAUUAUUCUUAAAAUAUUACUUUCUGUGACGACCUAUGUACAAUCAAAUGUUUUCUUGUACUUUUAUUGAUUUUGCUCUACCUUUGAUGGAAAUUUAGAACUUAUUUAGCCAAGUUCUUUUUAUAGACAUCUAGACGUGGUUGGAUAGAUUCGUACAUCUUUAAUCAAAAGUUCUGCGAAAUGCUAGAAAUAUUUUAUAAAAAAUUGAUGUAUAAAUAACAUAAAUAUCAAUCCUUUUGUAAGUAAUUACACACUCUCCCACUUUUUUAAUUACUUUACUCUCUCUUCCUAUUAAUAUACAUAGUAUUCUGUGUAUAUGUUGAGAUUUUUUAUAAUAUUGGAAACAUAAGUGGUGUAUUUGUGUAAUUUUUAGAAAAUUGAUAGGUAGUAUUUUUUCUUUAAAUGUGUUCGACAAAAAGGAUUCAAUUAAAUCCCUUUCACGCCACUGUAGACUAUACCUACAAUUAAAAUGAAAGCUUAAUUUUGUUCUUACAGUACAUCAGAAUUAAAAUUUUAUUAGGGUAAAGCUUUCAAAUUUUUCUUAUUCUGAACAUAUUUUUCGUGUAUAAUAUUUCUAGAAAGAGUACUUUUAGAAAAUAGAACAACUUGUGUUUAACUAAUUAAUCUGAAGCACUUCUACCAUCAUUGAGAAGUACUCCUCCGUUCAUUUAUAAGUGCUCCUUUGGCUAAGGCACAUCCUUUAAUAAAUUAUUAACUUCUAAAAAAAUAAAAGUAAUUUUCUCAACUUACUCCUAAUUAAAUUUUAUCUUAUCUCGUGUCAAGCUGACAUUAAUUAUUAUAUAUAAACUGAAGAGCAUAUUAGAAAGAUUAUGCUCAAAUCAUCCUUGUAGGCUCAGACAUACACUUAUUUAGUAACAAAAUCACAACCCAAAAGGAAUACUUGUAAAGGAAUUGAGGGAGUACUUUUUUCGUAAAAGCUUGGCAAGACCUAACUCUUCAAAAUAAAUAUUUUUUUUUGUAAAAAGUACGCAUUUCCUUUUGCAUUUCCAGAAGCUAAAAAAUCAUUUGCAGUAAUGGAACGAAUAGCUUUGGGUAAAGCAGAAUAUGUAGGUAUAUUUUUAUAGCCAAACGUAAUUGAUUAACCGAUAGAAAUUCAAUAUACUGUUUCUCAUGGUAAAGUACUGGAUUUCUUACCCGUCUGUUCCCAUUUUUUUUAUGAAGAUUGAAGAAUUACCUUAAUGUUUAUUAAUCAAACUGACUCAUUACCAGCUCUGAAAGACAAUAAGCAAACCUUGAACAUCAAUCCCCCAGAAUAAUGCCACACGUAGGGUCUAGAGAUGGUAGGAUGUACCCAGAUGGACCCAUCUGACAAAUAAAUCCAAUUUAAAAGCUACAUCCAGGGUAAUAAUUUUCAAGGAGUGAAAUUAAGUACUUGAACCAUGCUGCCAAUGAUGUCAGUACCAAAUCAGAACUCAAACACUCAUUGACUUUUUUUAAUCUUUUCUAGUCAGCAAAACAAUUUGGCUCAUUUCUCCUGGCUCGAUGAACAUAGCAAGUGAAUAAGCGUUACAUUAAAUCGUUUCUAUUCAUUUGGGGUGCACCAAAAGUUUAAUAUACGAGUAUUAACUCAUCCAAUUGAUGAUGCCAAGGGCUUGUACAUCCAAGCUAACAGUAAUUUAUGCACAAAAAAGACCAAGAUGACAAAACUAUAUAGAAACAUUAGGAUUAACGUAAUCAGCAUAUUCUGCCCUGAAGAAAUAAAGCAAUGCUAUAAUGUUCUAACCAAGAUGUUCAAGAAUAUUUGUUUCUCUUUCUCCAUUUUUGGGUUCAGGACCAUGGGGUAUAAUAACAUCCUUGCUCUUUCCAAAUGACAGCAUUACUUCCUUCUGAUGGAAGAAUAUAAUGAAUAGGUUCUGCAAGAUUUAAACAGGCCAUCCAAAAGCAUCUGCAUUUCUUCCCAAACUCUGCGAGCUAGCUAUGUUUACAUGGCCUGAAACUGCAGAGCAAGAAAAGUAUCAAAACGGCCAAGAAGCAGNNNNNNNNNNNNNNNNNNNNNNNNNNNNNNNNNNNNNNNNNNNNNNNNNNNNNNNNNNNNNNNNNNNNUGAUCUUUAAGGUCAAAUGCUGUGAGCUAAAGGAAGACGAAUAAAACCUGAAAUAAUAGCACAAGUAGCUUCUGUUGUCGGCUAACGGAAAAGUCUUGGCACUGAUGCUUUUGGAAUCUUGCCUUCAAGUUUUAGCCUUCUAUAUGAUUCUCUCAUGUGACACGGUCUGAUAGGCCCUGUAUCCUUCCUCUCAUCCAUCACCAGUCUAGCUGAAAAUAAGAAUUCCAAAAAAGAAACAGUAUAGUGAGUACUAGGGAUAGAUUGAUGCCACUAUAUGCCCCUAAUUUUACUCAACUGACGACUUUUCACCUUGAACUACUAAGGAUUGGUGCCAGUACAUUUCUGUUAAUGAAUCCAUGAUCUCAGUAAAUCUAUUUUGGGAAGAAGGCAGGUGAGGGGAUGCAGAAGAGAGUGUAAUUGAGGUUUGAUGAAGAGAGGACGGCCGAGAGCACGAACAUCAAAGAGACGGUUGGAAGCUUCUCGAUCUCAAAGGGCAAUAAUCAGUACUUUUUCUUGCUUUAAAAGCCCCAUUUCUCCCACACAUGUCAGCUACUUCAGUAUAUGAUAAUCACACCAAAACACGAAAGACGAAAUAAACACAACAACAUACCCAGUAUAUUCCCACCAAGUGGAGUAUGGGGAGAAUAAGUGAACACAAUCCAUACCACUACCUCAGAGGUGAGAUAGAAAAGUUGUUUCUGAUAGACCCCCGGCUCAAGAUAAAACAAUCUAGAAAAUGCAUAGUAAAAGAACAAGAUACAGUAGAAAUUACCCCACUCAAUAAUACCAUAAACAAGACUCACCACCAAGUAAUACAACAAACGAUACAAUAUUCUGAAAUAAAACUAGUACUAUAACUACUAACACGGAUAACAAAGUCCUCCUACCUAUUAGCACUGAUGCACUCGUUCCUACUAUUCUUCUACCCUAAUCCCGCCUCCUCCACAUCCCCUAUCUAGGAUCAUGUCCUCGGUGAGCUGAAGCUGCUCCAUGUCAUGUCUAAUUACCUUCCUCCAAUAUUUCUUCGAUCUAUCUCUACCUCCCAUGAAUCCAUCACUAGCCAACCUCUCAUACCUCCGCACUGGGGCAUCCGUGCCCCUCCUCAUCACGAAAACUAAGGAAACGAUAGAAUCAAAAUACGAAAAGAUAAAGGAUAGAGAUAAAAAUAGAUAGAUAGACACAAGAAGAUAAAGAAAAGGACAAGUUAUGGAUAUAUUAAAACCAAAGAUCUCCCUUUUGAUUAACAACAAGCACCGAUCUCUUACGUAGACCGCGAGGGAAUCAAACUCCCAAGUAACCAGACGUUGAUCAUGUUAGACGAGGAGAGUUGUACAACACGCCGCCUUAUCAAGCUAUCUGUCACACACUGUGCGGGCCAUGCUCAAUGGCUAGGUGGGAGCGCCACAGAGAUAUAGGCUAUGACAAAACCUUCCCCUAUGCUCAUUUAACAAGGAAGAUCGAAUUUGGCCAAGGAUUAUUGUUGCUUAUUUGAUUCCAGGGACCCAUUUCACUAGUAUUACGCAUCAUCGGGCAUGUCUAGUUUCUGCUUUAACGACUAAUGUUCCUAUUAAUGAUGGUGCAGUGAUUAGAUUAGCCAUGCAGAAAGCCCGAGUUCACAAGGGCGUUUGGUUCAACUUUAGGAGUCUUGUGACCGAGAACUUUAAGACAAUGGGGUCGAGGAGGACCUGGCUGAUUACAAGCCUCCUAGGAACUUGAGAGGGUUUGAUGUGUCUAAGGUCAAAGAGCCCAAUUCUACCCAUAGGCCAGUUUUCACGACUGCGGAAAGGAAUGCACGAGAUGAUAGCUUCUUCCGUCACUUAUAUGGCAUGACUAAGCUGACGAUGAUGUGUGGCGGUCGAACACCUACUACUGAAGAGUUGAGGUAGUUGGACAGUGAUUACCCAUGAAUGACCAUGCCAAAGCAAUGUGCCUAGUGGGUCAGACCUUUAGAGAGCUGCUAGAUGAUGAUGUUCCUACCGAUGAUGAUCCCUUGCUGGUUGAUUCUGAUGUGGAGAUUAAUUCUGACGCGGAGGAUCCUGGGAUGGGAUAUCUGAGCCCCGACGUGGAGGAAAAUGAUGACUAGGCCCAAGAAGUUCUUCUCCCCAUCUUUUGGUUUAUGUUUUUUUUUUGUUGUGCACUAGGGACAGUGCUUUGUCUAAGUAUGAGGUGGGGUAAAAGUGUUCCUUGGGUUUGUUAAAUUGAUUAAUGUUUGCUGGUUGGAUAUUUUGGUUUGUAAUAAGUAGUAAUGAGUAGGUUGACUUAGAUGAUUUGGUAGUAGUACUUUGUUAUUAGUAUUAGUUGGUUUUCUUUAUUUUGCUUUUGGGUGCCUCGGCUUUUGUUUUCGGUUCUUUCCUAAGGAUAGUCCCUUUGAACCGAGGAGGAUUAUUUUUUAGAACUAGGGUGUGCAUUAAAGUCAUAAUUAAGUACUUUUCUCAAUGAUAGAUGGAUGAAGACCGUCUUAUGAAAAAAAUUAGUCAUAAGAGUAGGAAGUAGAACCCUGUCAUGCAAUCGAGAUUAAGUGCUCUUGUUGUCAUGCAAUCGAGAUUAAGUGCUCUUGUUGUCAUGCAAUCGAGAUUAAGUGCUCUUGUUGGUUGCCUAACUGUGUAUGACACAAGUGUGGGAAAAUACUAUUUCAGACAUGUCAAAGAUGCUAAUAAGCAUAGGCCUUUUCCUUUACCGUGCGAACUUUGAUGAGUUCUCCAUUGAAACCAUUUUUAGUGCUACUUUUUUAGCAGUCGGUUUUAGAGAUAAAGUGCUUGAAUAGCUACAGAGGGCAACAUGCUCAUGUUUGGAUAGUUCUAAGGGCUGCUACUAUUACAUUUAACUUUAUCUCCAUUGAAACCAUUUUUAGUGCUACUUUUUUAGUAGUCGGUUUAAGAGAUAAAGUGCUUGAAUAGCUACAGAGGGCAACAUGCUCAUGUUUGGAUAGUUCUAAGGGCUGCUACUAUUACAUUUAACCUUUAAUCGAUGAACCAACUACGCCUCACUGGAAUAGAUAUUUUAUCUGAUAUCUUUUUUAAAAAAAAGUUUGUCUUAUCUGAUAUCUAAUAUAAGCUUGUAAAUGUCUACCAACCUGUUUCAACAAGCUCACCAACAAACAGUUUUGCUAUACCAGACACCACAAUUGUCAUUGGCAACGAUAUCUUUGAACUUCCUGUGAUACUGGUCAGUAACUGCAUAGACAACAUAGAUGAAGUGAUGAAACAUACCAAAUCAUGCAUGAGACAAACAAACAUUUUAAUGGCCCAGGGGCCUGAACAAUGUCCUUAUAAGGCAGCAAAGAUCAUUGUUCCCAAAGACAUUCCCGAAAUUUGGCAACUAAACUUGAGGUUCUGAAAUUAUAUAUUCUUGGUAAAAGACAAACUGAACACCAAUUGCUUUUAUCGGCUAAAUGUAAGGGACUGGUCAAAUAUUAGAGAAGAAAGCCCUAAAAUCUCAAAUAAUGGAAACAGAGCAGCAUUAGACAAGAGGUGAAAUAAAAAGGGAAAUAAGAGUCUUCAAGUAAAAGACUACUGCAUUUCUACCUUUCUCUUUCUGUUACAUAUUUGUUUGUGUUAACUGUACUGAUAACUUAGAAAGCCUCAUCAUAUAUUAGAAAAAUUAAUCAACAGAGAAUGAAGAACUGUUACCCAAUUUUCUUCUCAUUAUAGCCCAUUUUGUCUAAACCCCCUCUCACAGCUCAAGACAAUGAACAGCACACAUAUGAAUGGCCAUACAUGCUCAUAAGUUAAGAGAGGGCGAUGAACAGUCUCAGUCUAGCAUGUAUGGUACUUUUAGGAGAUGAUACAAAUCAUAUGUAACAUGUGCAAAAAGAGGUUAAAGGAGGAAAAAGCAAGAGAGUCAGCAACAUACCUUCUUCAUGUUAGAUUUCUGAAAUCCAGACCUACGGUAAGAUUCAUACCUAUUCAUUUGCUCCUCUGUGAACUGGGACAAUAUAGUCCUGCAAAAAAAGAGAAUAAAUUGAAAUACAACAGCUUCCAAUAAUAAUGUUUCUUUUUUUUAGUUACAGAUGAAUUAAGGACUACGGCAUGAUUGCUAUUGUGCACCAGCCAUGGGAAAGCAAUCUCAUGUACCAUCCCAGAAGGCUCUAAUGAUUCAAGGUAAUGCUUCACAAUUAACAAACCAACAGAGGAAGGAUGGUAACCAAGCAAAGCCAACUGAAGUAAGUAGCCAAACCCCAAUAGGAGUUGACUCUGGUUUACAUGAACAGGAAACCAAUGGAACAGUGAAAUCAGCAAGUCAAUCAUGGACUGAGGUAGUGCAAGGUAGAAGCAGCAGUCCUGCGCUGAAGAUGAUCUCGGCAUGGGAUUCUUUUGACAUAGGGAAGAUAGAAAAUGCAGGUUUCAAACUCUAAUAUGUUGCACCUAAAGUACAUGGUGAGUCUACUGUUUGUGAAAUUGAAGAUAUCACUGAUAACUUGCAUAUUGGCAUAAUGCAAUAGUUUGCCAUGUGUUAGGGGCUCAACCCCCUUCGACUGUAUUGAAUGGCUACAUUCAACGACUAUGACUAAACAAGGAAUCAACAAAAUCUAAAUGCUGCGAAAUUGGGAAAAACAAAGUCAUCAAGGAGGGGAUAUUUCAGUUUGACAACAAACCCUUCAUUGUGAAGGCAUGGACUCCAGACAUGGAAUUCACUAGAGAUGAACUGUAUUCAGUUCCUAUUUGGGGAGCUUACCCGGCCUAGAUUUCAAGUACUGGAGCCCUACAGGUUUUAGUAAGAUUGGAAACUUGAUAGGGAAGCCUAUUAUGGUUGAUAAGAGUACUGAAAAAAUAACAGGCCUUAAUUUUGCAAGAUUUCUAGUUGGAGUUGAGAUGAAUACUGAGUUUCCAGAGAAGAUGUGUUUCAGGAAUGAGAAAGGCAUGCUACUUGAGCAAAAAAUAGUGUAUGAUUGGAAACCAACUCUCUGCAAAUGCUUCCAAAAACAUGGGCAUGCAGAGGAGGAAAGUAGGAGGAAGAGACGUCCCACUGUGAACCAGGACGACACAAACAGAUGACACCAAAACAGCAGAUGAGAAAGUGGAAAGGGGCCAAGAUAAAGUAGCCGCAGCCACAAACAAGCUUCAGAAUGCAGGGAAGGGACCAGUUGCCAAUAGUAACAAGGGGAUGGGACAAGAAACCAAUAUCAUCAGCGAGAUAAGACCAGAAAACAAAGGCAAUAAAGAUGGUGGUAAUACUCAGGCUGGAGGUAAACGGAAGGAGAAGGCAAAGGAUGGAUUACUCCAAUACAUACCAGCAAACAGCAGCCAAACAGACUAAUCAAAUAAGAAGUCCAAUUGUUGUCGAUGUCCUUGAUGAGUCAGGUACAAGCAAACAAAUGCCAUUAGCAGAAGGAGAGUGUGUGGUCGUACCAUUUCCACUUAUGGGAAUGGAUAGCCUACUUUGUUGGAAUUUAGGGGCUUAAAUGGCCCUAGUAAGCAGGAGGUAAAGCUCCUGUGCAAUUAGCAACAUGCAGGUUUGAUUAGUCUAUUAGAACAAAGAUAAAGUCUAUAAUUAGAUUGAAAAGUUGGCAAAAAAUAGUUCAGUGGUUGGAAGUCUACAAAUGGCAGAAUAUGGAUUGUUUGGAGGGAAGAUUACUUUCAGGUUGUUCAUACUAUGAAUGCACAAGCAUUAACUUGCAAGGUCACUCAUAUUACUGGAAAAAGGGAAUUUAUGUCGAUAAUUUGUAUGCCCUCAACAGUAGGGAUGACAGAAGGGUAAUAUGGACCUAGUCACGUAAGUAGGCCUUUCGCCAUAGGAUUUGGGACCUAAUUUCAAGUUCUGAUUUGAAAUCAGCAUUUCUUUAUGAGAUUUGUACAAAAUUUCAACUUCAAUUUCGAAUCUCAGAUUCUCCAAAAAGUGGAUUUCAAAUUCCAAAUUUUGAUCUCUAUUUUUUUAAAAUGUAAGACUUAACCCAUAAGUUUAUACCUUGUAAAAGAAGACCCAUCUUUUAAAUUUUAUAAAAAAAUACUCAAGCUCGACGUGAAUAGAUUAUAUGUACCUGUGGAAAGAUUAUAUUAAAGAAUAGCUAGUUACUACUAUUAUUGAUUUUUUUGACCAGGGAAUAUAAAGUUAUGUGCAUCUAAUAGCUUGUGAUAACAUGUAAUCAUAAACAUUUUUUUAUAAAAGGAACAUGAAGAUAUGUAAUUUACUAAUCCGGCGCCUUAGGAUAUUACAACUCGUUGUUUAUGAACUAUGGUUUGCUCAUUUGGUAAGAUUGUAUAAGAGUUGAGAAAGUUUUGAUAAUUUUUUUUUUUAUGUUUAUGAGAACUAUAACUUUUUUGAAACUAUAACUUAAGAAAUCCAAAUUGCAUGUACACAAAAUUUCAACUUCAAAUCAACCUGAGUUCUGAUCACGAUUUUCAAAUCAUGUCCACAUGGGCCCUAAGUUCAAUUCAUGUAACUCACCCAGGUUGAUACUAUGAGAUUUUCACUUUGUUUUAAGACAGGAUGACAGAACUGGGGGCAGUCAAAUUACCUUGGGAGAGGUGCAGAAUUUCCACACUUGUGUAGACGACUGUGCACUGAUUAAGACGCCACAAAAAGGAGUAGAUAUACAUGGAAUUAUAGAGAAGGACAGGGAAAAUUGACUCCAAAGUAGAUUGGGUAUUUAUAGAUUGGGUAUUUAUGAACAGAGAUUGGAUUGACCAGAUGUAAGCAUAUACUGAAACUUUCUUGCCUGAGGGGGGUAGUGAUAAUUGCGCAGCUUAUUUAACUUUGACCUUGUCAUUACUGAGGAGGCGGCCCUUCAAAAACGUUUAACACUUGGUCUAUGCAUCCACAGUUUUUAACUAGAGUUAAAGGGAUCUCGCAACAACAUAUUGAGGAGUGUAGAAUGCAACAAGUGAUGAGGAGACUAAAAUUAGUGAAGAAGGGGUUAACGUAACUAAUGAAGCCAACCAUGACAAAGAGGUUCUUGAUCAAAUUAAGAAACUAUUAUAACUGAUCCCUACAGAUCAAACACUGCAGCAACCGGAGAAGGACAUAAACUAUUUAGGCAUUCAUCUUAUAUGGCCAAGGUCUUCCUUCAGCAAAGAAGUAAAGUUAUAUGGUUGAGGCUAGGAGAUGAUAAUACAAGAUACUUCUUCUCAGUGAUCAAGCACGGAAAACUGCAGCAGGCCAUAACACAGUCAAAAGAUAAAGAGUAAUGGGAUUCAAACUGAUCAGGAGGCAAUAGCAAAUAUCCUGGAGGAAUGUUAUAAGGAAAUGUUAGGGUGGAAGGGAAGUCAGAGAACAAGGGCUUUCAGAAGCUUCCUAUAGAAUGGACAAAGGCUAUCAGUCAGCCAACAGCUUGAAUUUGGCGCAGCAAUACAAUGAGAAUAUGUGAAGGCAAUGUUUGGCACUGAUAGCAACUAAAGUCCAGGACCUGAUGGAUAUGGAAGUGAUUUUUUCAAAAAAGAAUGGAGCAUAAUUGGAAAUGAUAUUACUGAUUGUCUGAUUCAAUAAUGGAGUUUUUUCAUAAUGGAAGCUGCUGAAACAGCUAAAUGCAACUUUGAUCUCCUUGAUUCCUAAGGUAGCAGUACCUCAGAAUACUAGACAAUUCAGGCCCAUAGCAUGUUCUAAUGAGUUGUACAAGUGCAUCUCUGAGGUGAUCCAUCAAAGAUUAUGGAAAGUUAUCAUCCCAAUUCCCAAGUUUUGCAGAGAAUGAGGUUGCAUUUGUUGGGGGUAGAUCAUUAAUGCACAAUGUCCUGAUAUGUCAUGACUACUCAAGACACUAUAACAUGAAAACCUCACCGGCAUGUAUCGCGAAAACUGACUUGAGGAAAACCUAUGACAUGAUAACAACAACAACAACAUACCCAAUGAAUUCCCACGCCUAUGGCAUGGUAAUCUGAGAUUUUAAUGCAGAAGCUUCAAAAGGAACCCAUUCAAUAGCAUGGUAAUGACUUGUGUAACUUCAAAAAAAAUUCACAGUGAAGGUAAAUGGAGAAGGAUAUGGCUGUUUCAAAGGAAGGAGAGGAGAGAGCUCAGGGUGACCCUAUGUCACUAGUGCUACAUCAAAAAUAUUGCAGAAGAUGAGUGGAACACCAUACUUCAGUUUCUCUUGGUGCUCAUUAAGCGUACUACUUGUAUGUUCAAUGGUAAUACUCACAGUUUAUUGGCCCCCCCCCCCAAAAAAAAAAAAAAAAAAAGAGGAAGUUUUUACUCAGAAAGAAGCUAAAAGGACUGAGGUGGCUGUGGUGUAAAGUCAAUGUCUGUGGAGAGUGUAAGCUUCUAAUUAGAUAUAGCUCCAAUCAUAGGGAUUCAAGAUUUUCAUGAUAAAAUCGCAGGCAGUCAAGGUGGAGGCUAUGGAAACUAUGAGUUUUUCUCAGAGGCCUGUUUAUUUGUUAGAAUGAGAUUAGGAUUACAUGAAUAGGCCUGUGAAUGGAGGAGUGGUGGUGACGUCAGCAGCCACCGGAUUCCAAAUCUCGACCUCUAUUUAUGUACUAUGUUACUCGUUGAACUAGAGAUAUUUAAGACAAGGAACAAUUUUGAAAAUGUCUUCACAGAGAGGAAAAAACACCACAGAGAAAUGUUUUCCCAUUUUUGUUCCCCAUUGUCUAUAAUAAAACACAGCAUAAAUAAAAUACUCUGUUUUACCGAAUAGCCCAAGAGUAUGAUUCCAGACCAGGUUCAAACAAUCUUCCUUAAAAUGCAAUAGGAGCUCUCUAUUACCAGUCAGAGGACUACUGGAAUUGGCCAAGCAAAACUAUAAAUUGGAUGUUAUGCCAGAAGUGCAGAGGUAAAUGUUACUGCUAAGGAAGGCUCAAGAAUAUACCCCGUAUAGUGGUAUGUGGUAUCUACGUUUUGGUUCAGGCAGUAAAAAAAAUUUUGACCAACCAAACCGACCAGUACUAAAAGUCUAACUAAUCCAAUAAACUGAAAACCAAACAGUUUGAUCUGGAAGGUCUCGGUGUGCUGCCCUCAUGAUUUGAGUAGUUUGGGCUUGUUGUAAGACUUACAUAUUCUUACUGAUAAUAUGCAAUAACACAGGAGAAAGAAAAUUGCAAACACUUCAUAGUCCAAAUUUCAAAAUAAUACCAAUAGUUUAGGCGAAGAAUAAAUAAUUACUCAAGAGACGAGCAAAGUUGACUUAACAAACUAGCAAACAAUGAUGUUGAAAGUGAAAACAGGAAAUUACAGCUUAUGGGCAUAUAGACUAUUUUUUAAUCUAUUAAAAAUAAAAUCAAUCGUUUUUUUAAUCUAUUAAAAAUAAAAUCCAUCGUCUAACACUCUCGUACUUUCAAUUUAUAUGACACUUUUUUUAACUUUUCACAUUCAGAACUGUUUGACACAUUCAGCUAGUGAUAUGAUUCUAUAAAUUCACAACUCUCAAUAAUACAAAUUUACAUAUUUUAGACUUUGAUAUGAUGUUUUCUCUAUCAAAAAAAACUUUUCAACCAUUACCUUUGUUAAAUAUGAUAGCAUUAUUAGAUAAUAUAGUUAUGAAAAUAUCUCUAUAAAUAGAUAGUGUAGAUAUAAGGAUAUCCCCAAAUCCCCAUAAUUAAGCACUUAGAAUAGUGCGCAAUAUUCUUAAUAGUUUCCUUCCUUAUUUUUAUUCGAUGUAACACUAUUUAAUCCCACUUGCUUGAGGGAAUAAUCAAGACACUAAUUCCAAAAUUCUCUUCUCCCUCUAAUUUCUCAUGGUAUCAGAGCCCUCCUUUCUCUAAUUUUCCUUCUUUUUCUCAAAAAAAGAAAAUACUGCAAAACCGAAUCGCAGAAACAGAAAGAAAAAAUCUGCCAGUUUUUUGUUACAGCUGGUUUCUACAUCCCUUUUGAUGAUAAAUCAUGUCUCCACACAAUAAUGACCACUCUAGAUGCACAACAAAUGUGGCUCAUAAUGGAGAUGGUAUUUAGGCCAUACCUGAUUUCAGGAAUACAACAACAACAACAACAGACCCAGUGUAUUCCCACCUAGUGGGGUCUGGGGGGUAAGAUGUACGCAAUCCAUACCUCUACCUCUGAUGAAGUAGAAAGGCUGUUUCCGAAAGACCCCCGGCUCAAGGCACGAGAUACUACACAAACACAUAGUAAAGCACAGAAGCAGAUUACAUAACAUAAAUACGGCACCCAUAAGUAAUAUAAAACAGAGGAAAGCAGAGGAAAGCACACAGAUUCGUAAUAAAACAUGGAACACGGAAUAUGGAAUCAUAACAGGAAUAAAACCCCCACCAAGUAAUCCAGACCUUCCUAUCUAGGGUCAUGUCCUCGGUGAGCUGUAACUGUUCCAUGUCCCGCCUAAUCACCUCACCCCAGUACUUCUUCGGUCUACCCCUACCCCGUCUAAAACCACCCACCGCUCGCCUCUCACACCUACGGACCGGGGCAUCCAUGCCCUUCCUCUUCACGUGUCCGAACCAUCUCAAUCGUGCUUCCCGCAUCUUGCACUCCACUGAAGUCACACCAACCUUCUCCCGGAUAGUCUCAUUCCAAACUCUAUCCCCUCUAGUCAGUCCACACAUCCAGCGCAACAUCCGCAUUUCUGCCACCUUCAUUUUUUGGAUGUGGGAGUUCUUAACUGGCCAACACUCCGCUCCAUACAACAAGGCCGGACGGACUACCACCCUGUAGAAUUUGCCUUUAAGCUUGGGCGACACCUUCUUAUCACACAGCACCCCCGAUGCGAGAUUCCACUUCAUCCAUCCCGCCCUAAUACGGUGCGAGACAUCCUCGUCAAUCUCACCGUUACUCUGGAUCACGGACCCGAGAUACUUGAACUUAUCCCUCUUCCCUACCUCCUGUGCUUCUAGCCUCACUACUACCUCAUUCUCCCGCCUCACGUCAUUAAACUUACAUUCCACAUACUCUGUCUUGGUUCUGCUCACCCUGAACCCUUUAGACUCCAGAGUUUGCCUCCACAACUCUAAUUUGUCAUUCACACCCCCUCGAGUCUCAUCUAUCAGGACUACAUCGUCUGCAAAAAGCAUACACCACGGCACCUCCCCUUGGAUACGCCGCGUCAACACAUCCAUUACUAACGCAAACAAAAAGGGACUAAGAGUAGAUCCCUGAUGCAAUCCUGUCAGGACAGUGAAAUGCUCUGAGUCUCCUCCCGCCGUCCUCACCUGGGUUUUCGCUCCCUCAUACAUAUCCUUAAUUACUCUGAUAUAUGCCUGCGGUACUCCACUCACCUCCAAGCAUCUCCAAAGCACUUCCCUGGGGACUUUGUCGUACGCCUUUUCCAGGUCGAUGAACACCAUGUGCAGAUCCUUCUUCCUCUCCCUAUACUGCUCCACCAACCUCCGUACCAGGUGGAUUGCCUCCGUCGUCGAGCGGCCGGGCAUAAAUCCGAACUGGUUUUCUGAAAUAGACACUAUCCGUCUCAGCCUCACCUCGACCACUCUCUCCUAGAUCUUCAUAGAGUGACUCAAUAACUUAAUCCCCUAUAGUUAUUGCAACUCUAAAUGUCCCCCUUAUUCUUAUAGAGAGGGAUCAUGGUACUCCACCUCCACGCCUCGGGCAUCUUUGCCGUCCUGAAGAUUUCAUUAAACAAUCCAGUCAACCACCUUACACCGGCCUCUCCAACGAACUUCCAAAACUCCACCGGUAUCUCAUCCGGCCCCGUCGCCCUACCCCUUCGCAUCCUGCGGACAGCAUGUCUAACCUCUUCUACCUUAAAACGUCUACAAUAGCUACAAUCCCGACACUCCUCUGAGUGCUUCAGGAAUAGAUCACCUAUAUUUAUCACUUUAACUGCAGCAGACUAUACUGAC